CGAGUAAGUAGCAACGAUGAACGGGAGAAAUCGAUUGAACGAGAGCGAUUGAGCGAACCAGACGCCUCGAUCUCCUAUCUCCUCUCUAUCUUGUCGAUUGAAUUCUCCAAAGAUGGAUAAUGAUUCGGUUUCAGAUUUGUAACGACAACAAAAACAACAUGUAACAGGCCUCCAAAAAGAUUGGGACGACCCUGAUGUGGAGUUUCUAGUUUAGUUAAUAUGAAUACAUAACCUGCACCCGUGUAUUUCCGGUAUAUUAAUUCGAAAAACAAUCAUCUAAUUCCACCAAAAAGAGGGGAUCAUAUCCCAAAGUGAAUUGCGAUUACACUAGAGCAGUUUUCUUCAUAAAUCCUCUUACCAAAAUCGAAGAUACAGUUUUUUCGACAAUGAAUCACCCACAUAGAGUAAGGAAACCAAGCAAACGCAUAAUGAUCAAGACUUCAUUUUCGAUUCAAAAACAUGGGUGACAACUCAGUGUUGUUAGACGACCAUUGUGAAUCAGAUAAUGAGAACCCGAUUAAGAGAAUCAGCCGGAACUAGUGAACGAGAAAAGGAUUCAGGAGGUAUGUAUUUGAAAUUAGGGUUCGAGAAAGUUAUGAUUUAAAUGGAAACUCGAAAAUUCAUUACAUGCAGGUGAAAAAACUUAGUAAUGUUAUAAUAAAUUUUGUAGUAAUGCUAUAUUUGUGUGGGUUAUUUGGGAUGAUUGAGAGGCAUGUUUC